rnacentral:lncRNA from 1 species
CAAGGGUUAGAACAUUUAAGAACAUUUGUGGCUUUACCAAUUCAAGGUACGUUUACAGAAUCUUUUGUAACUAGUUUGGUGUGUGAUCAUUUGGUGCCAAAAUUUCGACAGUUAAGAGUCCUCUCUUUGAGUGAAUAUAUGAUUUUUGAGCUACCAGAUUCUAUUGGUGGAUUAAAACAUCUGCGUUAUUUGAAUUUGUCUUUCACCCAAAUCAAAUUAUUGCCAGAUUCAGUGACCAAUCUCUAUAAUUUACAAACAUUGAUACUAUCCAAUUGUAAGCAUCUUACAAGGUUGCCUUCCAACAUCGGAAAUUUAAUUAGCCUUAGACAUCUCAAUGUUGUUGGAUGUUCAUUGCAAGACAUGCCACAGCAAAUAGGCAAAUUAAAGAAAUUGCAAACAUUGUCUGAUUUUAUUGUGUCCAAAAGAGGAUUUUUGGGAAUAAAGGAGUUGAAGGAUUUGUCACAUCUGCGGGGGGAGAUAUGUAUUUCAAAAUUGGAAAAUGUUGUGGAUGUUCAAGAUGCUAGAGAUGCCAAUCUAAAAGCUAAGCUCAAUGUUGAAAGGUUGAGUAUGAUUUGGAGUAAAGAAUUGGAUGGUUCACAUGAUGAAGACGCUGAAAUGGAAGUCCUUCUCUCUCUACAACCUCAUACUAGUUUGAAGAAACUCAAUAUUGAAGGUUACGGUGGUCGGCAAUUCCCCAACUGGAUAUGUGAUCCCUCUUACAUUAAAUUGGUGGAGUUAAGUCUUAUUGGUUGUAUAAGAUGCAUAUCAGUACCUUCGGUUGGGCAACUACCCUUCCUCAAGAAGUUAGUCAUCAAAAGAAUGGAUGGAGUGAAAAGUGUGGGGCUGGAGUUUGAGGGCCAAGUUUCUCUUCAUGCUAAGCCUUUCCAAUGCUUAGAGUCUUUGUGGUUUGAGGAUAUGAUGGAAUGGGAAGAGUGGUGUUGGUCAAAAGAGUCAUUUUCUUGCCUCCAUCAAUUGGAGAUAAAAAAUUGUCCAAGAUUGAUUAAGAAAUUACCCACUCACCUAACUUCUCUAGUAAAGCUCAAUAUUGGGAAUUGCCCAGAAAUUAUGGUUCGACGACCAACACACUUGCCUUCUCUUAAAGAGCUCAAUAUUUAUUAUUGCCCAGAAAUGAUGCCACAAUUUGAGAAUCAUGAAUUUUUCAUUAUGCCACUGAGGGAAGCGAGUAGAAGCGCAAUUGACAUCACCUCACAUAUUUAUUUGGAUGUUAGUGGAAUAUCACAGCUUUCCAGACUUCAGCCGGAGUUUAUGCAGUCCCUGCCGAGGCUUGAACUUCUAGAAAUUGACAAUUCUGGUCAGUUGCAAUGUUUGUGGCUGGAUGGGUUGGGAUUAGGAAACCUCUCUCGUCUUCGAAUAUUGAGUAGUGACCAACUUGUAUCCUUGGGAGGGGAGGAGGAGGAAGUGCAAGGGCUGCCUUACAAUCUUCAGCAUUUGGAAAUACGUAAGUGUGAUAAGUUGGAGAAGCUUCCACAUGGAUUACAAAGCUAUACAUCUCUUGCAGAGUUGAUCAUCGAGGAUUGCCCAAAACUGGUGUCAUUUCCAGAGAAGGGUUUCCCGCUCAUGCUUAGAGGUCUUGCUAUUUCUAAUUGUGAAAGUCUAAGUAGUCUACCUGAUGGGAUGAUGAUGAGAAACAGCAGCAACAACAUGUGUCACCUUGAAUACUUGGAGAUAGAGGAGUGUCCAUCUCUUAUUUGCUUUCCAAAAGGGCAGUUACCCACCACCCUUAGGCGACUAUUCAUAUCCGAUUGUGAAAAGCUAGUGUCUCUUCCAGAAGACAUCGAUGUGUGUGCCAUUGAACAGUUAAUUAUGAAGAGGUGUCCAUCUCUUACUGGUUUUCCAGGUAAGCUACCUCCCACUCUCAAGAAGCUUUGGAUAUGGGGGUGUGAAAAGCUACAGUCUCUACCAGAGGGAAUAAUGCAUCACCAUUCCAACAACACAACCAAUGGUGGACUUCAAAUCUUGGAUAUCUCGCAAUGUUCAUCUCUCACAUCCUUUCCUACUGGCAAGUUUCCCUCUACCCUUAAAUCUAUUACGAUCGAUAAUUGUGCACAGAUGCAGCCAAUUUCAGAGGAGAUGUUUCACUGUAAUAAUAAUGCACUUGAAAAGUUGUCCAUCUCGGGACACCCUAAUCUCAAAACCAUACCGGAUUGCCUCUACAACCUCAAAGAUCUUCGGAUUGAAAAAUGCGAGAAUCUGGACUUGCAGCCUCAUCUAUUGCGAAACCUCACUUCUCUUUCAUCACUUCAGAUCACUAAUUGUGAGACUAUCAAAGUGCCCUUAUCAGAAUGGGGACUUGCUAGAUUGACCUCUCUUAGAACUCUUACCAUUGGUGGCAUAUUUCUGGAAGCCACCUCCUUUCCUAAUCACCACCACCACUUGUUUCUUCUUCCUACUACUCUAGUUGAGCUUUCCAUUUCAAAUUUCCAGAAUCUGGAAUCCUUGGCCUUCCUGUCUCUCCAAAUGCUCACCUCUCUUAGAAAGCUAGAUGUCUUCCAAUGUCCUAAGCUCCAGUCGUUUAUACCAAGGGAAGGGCUGCCUGACAUGCUUUCAGAACUGUAUAUAAGAGACUGCCCGCUCCUAAUUCAAAGGUGCUCCAAAGAGAAAGGGGAAGAUUGGCCCAAGAUUGCCCACAUCCCCUGUGUGAAAAUAGAUGGCAAAUUGAUCCUUGAGCAAUAAGAAGUUGAGAUUGCAGCAAAAUGCACGCAGAGACUACCACUAUAUGUAAAUGCUUGGUAUUUUUCUUCAAUCUGCCACAAUUCCUUGUGUCAUUUGUUUAAUUUAUUAUUCCAAGUUUAUUUGUUUAAUUGAAUUGUCUCACGUAUCUUGCACAGUUGAAACUCAUCCAAUGGCAAAAAUUCUCCUUCACCAAUGACUGGUUUGCCAUCCAUGCUAUAAAGUCUCAUGCUUGAUGGUUAUGAAGGUUAAAAAUUCAGUAUUUCAUUGACCGAAGAACAAGAAGAAGAAGAAGAACAGAUUUAAUUAAAAAGGUAAGGGAACAAUUCAUGAAGACACCAAUGGUAACAGGACUAUAUGCUCUGCCUUAAUCACCCUAUCAUAGAGAUGAGUGAUCCAUCACCCUUAAUCAAAUUAUGAUUUUUUGUUGCAGAAACUGGAGUCAAUUUUAGCAAAAAAAAUUGCAGAUAAAACUUACUUGGAAGCUUUUGUAGUUGUACGAGUCAGAACUUUAUCUGGGGCCUCAUGACAUGCCUGUUGUUAGAUUGCAUAUCUACGCAACACACAUAGGCUAUUAAUUCCCUUUCUAUUAGAAUCAAGUACGCCCAUUCAUUAUAAGUAACUUUUUUGUUCUUAAGAAUUAGUUUCAAAAUGUUCAUUUUAAAGGAAUUCCAUUUCGUGCAUGUAGGGUGUGAAGGAGAAGAUAAUGCAAAUGGAAUCCAAUUCUCUAACCACAGGGUCAGCCAGUUAAAGUGAGUAUACUCUAUUUCAUUCAUGAUCUUUUUUGACUUUGUGCAUCUGAAUUGCAUUGUCCUCAAUAAGCUUCCUUUUUCCAUAUAUCUCUGUAUAAAAUUCUGCCUUUUUUUUCCUUACGUAUUCAUAGAUGUGCAUUUAUCAACAUAAGCUGUGUUCUUAAUGCUUUUAAACCUAUGACUUCACAUUUUUCCAUCACAGGAUUCUACCAUGUCUUUAUAAUUUUCCAUUUAUCAACAUGAUCUUUGUUCAACUUACAGGUUUUUCAAGUGAGUGAUAAAGAAUACAAAUGGUUAGAUAUCAGUCUUUUCUUUGUCCUCUUGAUUGCACUGCAUCUUUAUUUGGAAUUGGAUAUUCCUAUUUGUAACUUGUUUUUCUUGGGGUUUUUAAUUACAUUCCUUGUUACAAUAAGUCAGGAUUGGCCUUUUCUCAAAAAUAAUUGUUCUGCUUCUUGGUCUUCUCCUCAGUUAAUGCAAGCAUCAAAUUUCUACCUUUGUUAUAUCUGUAGAUAAUUUUCUGGUUUGAAUUGUACAGCACACCUAAAUAAUUCAAAGUUGCAGAAGUCUUGCUGGCUCACAAAUUACCAUCUCAUGUGGAUUUUGAAGAAAGGAAAUCUGCAACUUGAGAUACAAUGAGCUAUGAUCAUUCUUACAUUUUUAAAGCUUCUUCAUUUGUAUCGUAUGUUCUGAUGGCAUUUACUUUUUCUCAUUACACAUGCAUGAGGAAGAUUUUAUGAUUUCCAUUAUAAGUUUUGAAUAACUAUAUUUGCAUUUCUUUUUAUUUCAAGUAGAUGGAGGGGUGAAAAUUCUUUUGCAUGUUUGUUGAUGUUUUGCACUUAAAACUCUACUCUGGUGUUUGGUGUUUAAAAAGGGGUACUUCAUGCAGAUAAUGAAAGUAUAAAUAGUUCUUUACCAUAAAAAAAUGCUUCAUGGUUGUUAAGAUCCAUCUAAUUCUUUGUCCUUUUAUUGACAUGUUCUUCAACUUGUGGAAGACUUGGAAGGGAGAGCUUGAAUCAAAUUAAGCCAACACCUUGCAAAAGAUGAAUUCUGGCUAAGAAACCCCACUACUCUCAAGUUCUUUCUUAUCCAAUAAUUUUACAGCAGGUAAUUCGAGAUUAUGGUCUCAUAUUUGUAUUUGUUCAUGGUGAUGCACUCACUGUUUUCACUCUCAUGUUUUAAUCUGAUGGUGACACACUCUUCUUCUUCUAUGCAACCAUUAUGUGAUAAUAGUCAGAGCUCUGUCUUCCUUGAGUUCAAGCAGAGCUUUCUGAUUGAUCAGCAUGCUUCUGAUGAUCCUUCUGCUUAUCGAAAAGUUGCAGCUUGGAAAUGUGAAGGCGAAGGUAGUGAUAGAGGUUUUUUAGUUUAGAUUUUUUAAUAAAAUCAUAAUUUGUUGAUUAGAUAUUUAGUAGGUUGUUAUCUCUGUUCCUAUUUGUUAGGGUGUUGAGAUUCUCUUGGAAGAGAUCUUUAUUUGACUUGUAAUCUACAGCUUAUUCAAUAGGUUGGAUGAUCAUUUUCUUCAGAGCUACGACUCUCAGCUAGGGUUUCUUAAUGGUCAAUACAGCCAUGACCGGUGCAACUAGACCCACCAACUCAACCAAGGAAACGACAGAGGAAGUGUAGAGUGGCCCUGCUGUCUUAUUCAACAAUUAUGAAAAUUCCAACACUUUUCAGAUAACUGUUCACAGAUUCAAUGGCAAGAAUAAUGUAGAGUGGGCGCAAUCGAUGAAGCUAGUGAUAGAUGGCAAAGGCAAAAUUGGCUAUCUCACUGGUGAAGUGACAAAACCAGCAGAAAGAGAUCCCAAAUUCAAACCAUGGAGGUCCGAAAAUUCUAUGAUCAUAGCCGGGUUAAUAAACUCAAUGGAAAACCAUUUAUGUUUCUUCCAACUGCCAAAGAUGUAUGGGAUGCAAUUCGAGAAACAUGCUCGGAUUUGGAAAACUCGUCUCAGAUAUUUGAAUUGAAAACAAAGUUGUGGCAAUUGAAGCAACGAGAUCGAGAUGUGACGGAGUAUUACAAUGGGAUUUUGACUCUUUGGCAAGAAUUGGAUUUGUGCUAUGAUGACCAAUGGGAUUGUACUAGUGAUAAGACACGUGAAGAGAGGAAAAUGACAGAGCAUAUGUUUUUCUUGCUGGACUUAACAAAGAAUGGACGAGGUCAGGGAACGAAUUCUUGGGAGGAAACCCUUGCCAAAUAUUCAUGAAGUGUUUUCUAAAGUUAGGCGAGAAGAAGCUCAACGGAGAGUGAUGCUCAAAGAUGCUGAUCAAAAGCAUACAACUGAAUCUGAAAGUUCUACUCUUGCUUCUAGAAGAUUCGAACAUGAAGGAGACCACGGAUGAAAUUUUCUUUAUAUAUUGCUGAUAUAUUGUGUAUAGGAGAUUAUGGAAACGAUAUUAUGUGGGAAAAUAUCAUUUCGACGAAAUUUUGAGGAAAAUUGUCGAAAAUCAUCGAUAUUUAUCGAUAUAUGCGCUACAAUGUGGUCAAACACGCUGCAUUACCAACCAGCUACAGUGCUCCCUCAAAAAUGCCUUGCAAUUUGCAAUUUGCUUACCACCGGGGCAAGUUUGCUUCUUGUUAAAUAUAUUACACCAAACAUAUAUAUUCAAAGUCAUCAUAUAAACAAAAUAUUAAAAGAAUAUUCUAGAGAACAAAUUAAUUAUAACUAUUUUAUAAUUAAAUGCAAAAAUUUCUUUUAAUUGAUUAUCAAAAAUAUAAAAAUUAUCAUAAUAAUUUUCUUCAUAGUGUUUUUAAUAUCAUUAAUAAAUUAAUUAAAUAUUAAAAAAUUGUAUAUAUAUUAUAAUUUAUUUUAUAUCAUUUAAUACAAUUGAAUUAAAUAGAUUAUAAUUUUAAUAUUAAAUAUAUUUUAAAAUUAGACAUAUUAUAAUUAAAUAUCACAAUAUUAUUAUGAAAUAAUAUUUGAUGUAAUUUAAUAAUAAAUGUACACUUAUAAAAUUCAUAUUUUUUUAUCGAUUCAUUCAAUAUUAUUAUCAAAUAUGAUAAAUCAUAUUAUACAUAUAUUAAAUUAUUUAAUAAAACAACUUUAAAAUGUCAAUUAUACUUUUAAUUACAUUUUUAUGACGUUUAUAUAUAUCAAAUAUGUAUCGGUACUUCAAUUUUAUAGAUAUAUCAGAUAUAUCGAGGAUAUAUUAACAGAUAUUUUGGAAUAUAUAUAUAUUCAUGAUUACCAAUACUUUUAUCCUUGAAGGAUAUAAGCAAAAUAAUAAGUGGUUAGAAAAACCAUGGUGUGACUACUGCAAACGAGCCUGGCACACAAAGGAGACUUGCUGGAAGACACAUGGCAAGCCAUAAAAUGUGGAUAAAAAAUCCAGCAAUGAAGAACGUGCAUUUCAAGUUAACAGUGAUGACCAAGGGACAUAAACUUCCUUAGAAAUUUUUUCUCUCACUAAGAAACAACUAGAGCAAUUCUGCAAAUUCCUUCGAUCCCAAAUAAGUUUCCUUCAUGUUCAUUGGCCUAGAAAGGUAACUCUUAUUCCACUGCACUUACUUGUGUCAAUUCCAGUUCCCCAUGGAUCAUAAAUUCAGGUGCAUCGAAUUAUAUGAUAGGUUCAUCAAAAUUGUUUUCGUCUUAUACUCCCUGUACAGGAAAUAGAAAAAUAAAAAUAGCCAAUGGUCCUCUAUCGACCACAGCAGGAAAAGGGUCAAGAACUAUUUCUUCCUCAUUAACUCUUCACAACAUCCUUCAUGUUACAAAUCUUGUUUUGAGAAAACAAUCACAACGUACUUGUUUUGAGUUGAUAUCUAUUUCUCUUGACAAUGAAAUCGUGUUAUGACAUUUUAGAUUAGGUCAUCCCAACUUUUAGUAUUUGAAAUAUUUGAUUCCAAGUUUGUUUAAGAAUAAAGAUCCAUCUUUGUUUCAAUGUGAAAUUUGUGAAUUAUCAAAACAUCAUUGUGCAUCGUUCCCAUUACAACCUUCAAACCCACUAAACCAUUUUCAAUUAUUCAUAGUGAUGUUUGGGGGCAAUUUAGGAUUAAUACUAUUACGGGUAAGAGAUGGUUUGUUACAUUUAAUGAUGAUCUGUGGACCUGCAUUUUUCAUGUGUGUUCUCACUCAAUCGACGAGACUCGUUUUUUAUUAAAUAAAAAAUUUAGUUUUAGAAAAAGUUGGAGUGCCACUUAUUUUAUUUUAUUUUAAAGGGAAAAUAAAAUAAGAAAUAAAACCCUAAAAAAUGACUCCAUAGUUUUUUUGGAAAAAUGUGUUUUUAAAAAAUCCGAGUCUAGGUCUGGAGAUUAGGUUACUUAUUGGGAAGGUACCUCUAUGAGAUAGCACCUCUCUAAGCCUUAUAAAGGUCUCUACUGACUAAGUUAAGGGGAAUGUGACAAUUAAUUGAUUAAUUAUGGAUACCUAAGUGAGCUAGGUGAUUUCAAAAGAACAUUUAAGGUGCGUACCUGGACCACUUUUUAAGCGCUAUUAUAAAACAUCAAUGAUUAGUUUGAAUAAUAUAUCACCCAAUAUGCACUUUAUCAGAAAUAAUCAAACUAUGAAACAGAUAUCAAGACAUUUAAGCACUAUCAAACAUAGACAUAGUUCACAAUGACAAUCAUAUUUACAGAAUUCAGAAAAUAGGUGUUAGGGAGCAUACCUAGAUAGCAUAGAUAACUCGUAAUUCGCUUUCUUAGGGCAUGGGGGGCGAGGGGUUAGAUAAUAAAUAAUAAAAUAAGAAAUCCUAACACGCUUAUCUGAUUAGUAUAGAAAAAAAAAAUGAUCAAAGUAUAUUAAAUCAUCAAUCGUCACACACAUUUUGUAUACAAUUCCUAAAAAAUAGAUAGAUAUAUUUACAACAAAUAGCAAGGAUGGUAGCAAAAAUAAGUUUUGAAAAGAUUUUCUUAUGUAGGGGUUUCACCAAUUCCCCAAUUGAUAUACACGAAUUUAGCCUAGAAUUAUCCCAUUUAUUUGGGACCACAAGCAUUGAUUCAUGUUUUGUUCAAAACCAAAAUUUUCAUUGAAAACUGAAAAUGAUGCAAACCGAUCGAGAUAUGGUUGCAUAUUAUUUUGAAAAAAAGAGAUUUUGAUUCUAAAGACUCUAAAUGAAUUUUCUUUUUAAAUAGAUUUUUUUUUAAAGGAAUCUUUUGAGAAAAAGUGUUUUGUUUUAAAAUAAAAGAAAUUAAUUUUAAAAAUAACAAAACAUGGAAAACAAAAUGCCAACCAAAACAAAAGGAAACGAAAAUCACAAAAUGAAGAUUUAGACAAUCAUGCCAAUUAAAUUGGUGAGAGUAAGGUCAACCUUCAUGGGUUUCCAAUGGCCUUCAAAAAAAGAUUUGACCAACAAUCAUUAUGACAACAAACUUAUGACUUCCUAAUCAAACAAACAAACAAAAUAUUAUCUAAGACUAACAUCUAGAUUUCAAGAAACACAUGAAUUAAGAUAAGAAAAACCAAUCAAGGAUUAAAGUUAACAAAUUUAGCAUGUGGAGAUAAUAAUGUGGGAUUAAUUAAGGUAAAUUAACAUUCUAACAAAAUAUGAUAAAUCAAAAACCAAAAUUUAGCAAUCUUGAAAAUAUGAAAACAAUAACAUGCAAUUAAUUAGAUUGACUAUCCAAAACUCCUAAAAAAUUUGAACUAAAUAUUAAUAGAUCAAAGCCAAAAUAUGUCAUACUCAAAAUAUGAAAAAUAAUAACAUGUGAUUGACUAAAUUAAUUAACUGAAACUCUUAAAACAUUAAAACUGGAUAUUGAUGGAUCAAAAUUAAAAUUUCCAUACAUAAGACAUGAAAAUAAUAACACGUGAUUAACUAAAUUAAUUAACUAAAAUUAUAAUCAACUACAAAAUUGGAUAUAGAUGGAUUAGAAUCAAAAUUAACGAAAUCAGAAACGCAUAAAUACAUUCAAACUAAAACAUAAUUAAUACUAGAUUAAAUUCGAAUUAACAAAAUCAACAUCAUUUAAUAAGAUUGGCUAAACUAUCAAAUUGAAAUUGCAAAUAUAUUUAAACUAGAAUAAUUAAAUAAAUCAUCAAUUUAAAACUAAACUAAAAUUGAAAUUAAAAACAUGAAAUUUAUCUAAGAAGGUUAAUCAAACAAUUGAAUUAAAAUCAUGAACGCAUUAAAAUUAUAGAAUAAAUUAAGAUCAAACUAAAUUGAAAUUAAACUCUAUUUAAUAAGAUUAUUUAAAUCGAUGAAUUAAAAUUAGCAAAUACAUUUAAACUAAAAUGAAUUAAAACCAAACUAACUGAAAUUAAAAAAACACAAACUUUAUUUAAACUAUCAUAUAAGCUAAAGGAUUAAGAUCAACAAACGCAUUUAAACUAAAAAUAGAUUAAAACCAAACUAACUAGAAUUAAAAAAAAACACACACAAACUUUAUUUAAACUAUCAUAUAAACUAAAGAAUUAAGAUCAACAGAUGCAUUUAAACUAAAAACAGAUUAAAACCAAACUAACAAGAAUUAAAAACGCAAACUUUAUUUAAUAAAAUUGUUUAAACUAAUGAACUAAAAUCACUAACACAUUCAAACUAAAACUAAACUAAUCCCGAAUUUAAAAAUAUAGACUUUAUUUCACAAGAUUAUUUAAACUAAUGAAUUAAAACCACAAACACAUUCAAACUAAAAAGGUAGGUUAAAACUAAAUUAAUUCAGAAUUGAAAAAUAUAAUUUUUAUCUGACAAAAUUAUUUAAAGUAAUGAAUUAAAAUCACAAAUAUGUUUAAACUAACAGACAAAUUAAAAAGAAACUAAUUUUGGAUUAAAAAAAAAAUGAACUUUAUCUAUUAGGAAUAUUUAAACUAAGGAAUUAACAACACAAGCACACUUAAAUUAAGAGAAUAAAUUAAACUGAAAUUAAAAAUAUGUACUUUAUCUAACAGGAUUAAUAAAACUCACAAAUCAAAAUCUCAAAUAUAUCCAAAUAAAAAAAUAAAUUAAAACUAAACUAAAACCGAAUUAAAAGUGAACUUUAUCUAACAUAAUUAAUUAAGUUAAUGAAGUAAAAUCAAAAACACAUCCAAAUUCAAAAAAUAAAAUUAAAACUAAAUUAUAUCGAAAUUUUAAAAAACGGGAACUUACCUAGCUCGUGUCGCCGAUGCCCCUCUCGGAUGCAUGGCUCUUGUGCGUGUUACUCAAAAAAAUCCUCUUGAUAAGUCAAAGUGGCAACCGAAUCCUUGUCUGAAGUCCUCUGUUGUUCUCAAAAUCUGCGCGUGUCCUUUUUUUAAAAAUUGCUCUCAUGUGUUGAUCUCCAAAAAAACCCAAAAUUGUUCUUGUGUGUUUUCUUUGCCAAAAAAAAAAUCCUCUCAGGUGUUUUCUCUGCCAAGAAAAAAAUAUAUUCCAACUUUUUAUUCUCGUCCCUCUCUUAUUUAUAUGGCAACCUAUCAUUUCCAUGGAAUACUCUGUUUCUUUUUUUAAUUCCCGUGGAUAUAUGGAAAGUGCAUAUAUAUGGCUCACUUAGAGACUCCCUCAAGGAUGCAACCCUGUGUCCUAUUUGGUAAGUGUCCAAAUCCUAGUAAUCGCACCAUCGGCCAUGGAUUGGAGUGAUCGGGUUGGACAUUGCAGGGCCUUAUCCAAGAUCGACGAACAAAGAUUCAUCUUCUUUUCCCAUGGUGAAUGUCUGGCUAUGGAUUCUUCUUUUGCCUUCGGCAUUGGUUUCUUGAACCAAGCAGAUUUCCUCAGCGCUUCGAUGCUCAUCAUUUUAUUAGGAUUCGGAUCGAGCAACUGUGAUAUUAUCGAUCAUGCCGGCCUCGAGAUCCAAGGUAGAAACUGGUAAUCCCGUCGAUAGAUUUUUUGGUACAUUGUCACGAGAUUAUUAUCAUCAAACGGGAGAAAUUUGAAAAGAAAGACGAAAUGUAUAACUCCGUAAGGCCACGCGUCCGCCUUUGCGUCGUCAUGGCUUUUUUGAUAAACGACUUCCGGCGUUGUGUACUCAGGUGUGCCACAAGCGGUGUGGAGUAAGCUAUUCUUAAGUUGAUCUGGAAGCGCGAACAACCUGAAGUCAGAGACCUUGAGGUUACCGUCUUAGUCUAGGGGAAGGUUCCGCGGCUCCAUGUUGCGGUGAGCCACGCUGUUCUGAUGGCAGAACAAGAGGGUGAAUACUAGUUGCUGGAAGUAACAGCGCGUCGCUGCCUCAGUGAGACGGUUGCGGUGGUACCGUCUGUGAUGGAAAGGGCCUGGUACAGCUUGGCGAAGCUGCCUCGGCCGAGAAGGCAGCUGAGUUUGUAUUUGCCAAGGAUAAACUCGGCGGGGAGAGGUUCCAUGAAGGCAGGAGGAGGAAAUGUCGGCGGUAGUCGCAACUCUCAUUGAAGCAGCGUUGCCCAAGCUACCUGUGAUAAAAUGGAGAAUCCUUGAUAGUGUUGCCAUGCGUCCACCCUUUUUCAUUUUUUCAUUUUUACUUUUCUUUAACUCCUCUUGUUCUUUCCUCCCCAAUCUCCUAGAAUACUCCAAAACCCAAAAAUGAUGGUUUCUUGUGACGUCACCUUGCUCAUCCUAUAAAUGCUUGUGUAGUACCCUUCCAAAACGCAUGUGUCUACAACCUCUUAAAGCCUUCUGGGACCGAAACAUGGUGGUCACGUGAUGCUGGGACGCACACUAGAGAUGGAUAUAAAUUCCCAACUAAUGAUUUACGAAAAUAUUCUACAGAUGGCUUUCUCGAAUCCUCAUCGUUGCAUGUAUGCCUUUGCCUUGCUCAUAAUCUCCCCGAUAAUAAAAAAUUUCAUGCAAUUUUUCUCCUCAUGCAAAACAGAAUAAAAUAAAAUUGAAAGGAAUUUAAAAGAAAAGAAAAGAAACUAAUGAAAAUUAUGUGAGUUAUAGUGAAAUAUAAGAUGAUUAAAAGGAAAAAAAAGAAAGAAAGGAGACUAGAUUAUAUAGUUCCAUCAUUUAAUAAGAGGCCGCAAACAUCUUUAAAGUCUAAACAAUUCAAGCAAAUUUCUAUUAAAUAAAUAAAUAAAAAUAAAAAAGAUAAAUAAUAAUAAAAUAAAUAAAUAAAAUAAAAAUAACAAUAAUAAUAAGAAUAAGUAAAUAAACAAAAUAAAUAUGAUCAUCAAAUGCAUGCAAUAAUAAUAAAAAGAUUAUAUAAAAAGUUAAGCCCAAUGAAGUGUCUAAGCGGGCCUAAGGUAGUGCUUAAUGGGCCAUGUGUAUCUACAUAGACCUAGAGGGUGCUUAAUGAGUUUAGGGUGGCUAGGUGGACCUAACUAAGUCUAAUCUAAAGUGCACCUAAGUGAAACUUAAUCUAAACUUGAAGGAUAACCAAGGUCUGAAUGUGGGGCCAGAUAAACCCCUCAACCAAAGUUUCUAAAGUGGCUCAGAAAUGGUAAGCUACACGAGUAGUAAUGAGCCAUUAAAGAACCAUUGUAGAACAUUGGAAGUGAACUUAAAGAUAUAUGCUAAAAGGACAAAAUGAAGGGUGUCUACAGAUCACACAAGAAUUUGUUGGGUACAUCCAUUAAAAGGCAAAUCGAAAGUAGAAUAAGUUUUCAAAGCCUUUCAUAAGAUGAUUCAAACACAAUUUCAAGGAAAUGUUAAGGUUUUCAAAAGUGCUAAUGGGAAAGAGUUUUUUUAAAAAAAAUUCUAGGAAGAUAUUUUCUUGAAAACGGUUUCGUACAUCAAAGCUCUUGUAAUGAUACACCACAACAAAAUGGAGUAGUUGAAAAAAAAAAAAAAACAAACAUCUUUUAAAAGUUGAUGGAUCGUUAUUGUUUUCAACAAAAAUUCUUAAGUAUUUGUGGGGAGAGGCAAUUUUGGCAACAACUUAUUUGAUUAAUAAGAUGCCCACAUGAGUUUUGAAAUUUAAAACUCCAUUUGAUGUUUUCAAAACUUUUUUUUUUCCCACAUCAUGAAUUUCCUCUGAUUUACCUCUAAAAAUCUUUGGUUGCACUACAUUUGUUCACAUUCAUCAACAUAAUUGUGAAAAACUUGAUCCAAGGGCUAGAAAGUGCGUGUUUGUUGGGUAUUCUCCCACACAAAAAGGAUAUAAGUGUUUUAACCCAAUUUCCAUAAAAAUGUAUGUUACAAUGGAUGUGACCUUUUUUGAAAUAAGAUCUUUCUUCCAUAAGGCUCAUUUUCAGGGGGAGAGAUCAUGUGAAGAUUCGGAUCCUAUGAGUUUUCUAGAGUUGUUAGACAGUGAAGAAUUAGACAAUGGAUCUAGUUGUGGUGAAAGUUCCGGUUUGGGUUUAGGCUCGGGCUAUGAGGAGAUAGGCACGAGUGGUGGAAAGAAUAUGAUACAUAUUUCUCAAGACCCAAGGCCUACAUUAGAAAUUGGUAGAUCACCUCUAGAAAAUAUUGAACAACCACAACCAAGUCUGGAAAUUAAUAUUUAGGUGCUGAAAAUAUUGAACAACCACAACCAAGUCUAGAAAUUAAUAUUUUAGGUAUUGAAAGUGAGGGGGAGGCUACUAACAUGCAAAAAAAUGUUCAAAACACUAGAGAAAUAAAUACUGAUACAAAUGCAGGUAAAGAAUUGAUUGUUUACUCAAGGAGGAACCUGACACAAAAAAAUGAUGAUUCCACUUUACUGGAAGGCCAUGACUCCAAUCCGAGGACAGAUAAUCUAAAAAGACAUGAGUUAGAUAAAAACUCUUAUUUCGAAUAUGAUCUUCAUACUUCCAUUUUCCCAUCUGUGUCAUAACAUGAUCUGAGUGUUCCAAUUGCCAAUAGGAAAGGUGUUAGGUUUGUACUAAACCUCCUUUGUCCAAUUUUGUGUCAUAUAAGUGGUUAUCUCCCUCAUUUGCUGCAUUCACUUCACAACUUUAUAGUGUACAAAUUUCUAAAAGUGUGCAGGAUGCUCUAAUUAUUCCCGAAUGGAAGGAAGUUGUGCAAGUGGGUGUUCACAGUUAAAUACAACUAUAAUGGGUCACUAUAGAGAUAUAAAACUCAACUUGUUACCAAAUGAUUUACUCAAACCUAUGGCAUAGAUUACUCAUAAACAUUUGCACCGAUGACUAAGCUAAACAUAGUAAGAGUACUCCUUUCAAUAACCGUGAAUUUGGAUUGGCCACUACAAUAAUUAGACAAAAAAAAUGUUUUUCUCAACGGAGAUCUAGAAGAAGAAGUUUACAUGGAUUAUCCUUCAAGUUUUGAAGAUAAAUUUGGCUCAAAGGUGUGCAAGUUAAAAGAAAAAAAGUCCUUAUAUGGGCUCAAACAGUCUUCGAGAACCUAGUUUGUGAAGUUCACAAGGUCAGUAAAGAAUCAAGGUUACACUUAGGGCCAAAUUGACCAUGCUAUGUUCAUGAAGUUUUCAAUAGAGAGGAAAAGUAGCAGUUUUGAUAGUCUACGUUGAUGACAUUAUUCUAACAGGAGAUGACGUGAUAGAAAUGAACAGAUUGAAGAGUUGCUUGGCAAUAGAAUUUGAACUAAAGGACUUGGGCUCAAUGAAGUAUUUUCUCGGGAUGGAAGUUGCACAUUCUAAGAAGGCAAUGGAAAUAUGUAUUGGAUCUUUUAGAAGAAACGGGAAUGAGUGGUUGUUGACCUAUUGAUACUCCAAUGGAUCUUAACAUGAAUUUGUGGGAAGAAGGCAAAGAAACUUCAGUAGAUAUUGUUCGAUAUCAGAGAUUGGUAGGCAAGUUGAUUUACUUGUCACAUAGUUGGUUGGACAUCGCUUUUGCAGUCAGUGUGGUUAGUCAAUUUAUGCAUGCUCCUUAUGAAGAUCAUCUUGAAGCAGUUUACUGAAUUCUCAGGUACUUGAAAAAUACACCAAGGAAAGGAUUAUUCUUUUUUAAAAGCGAACAAAGAAAUAUUGAGGUGUUCACAGACGUAGAUUGGGCUGGAUUAGUAACAAAUGGAAGAUCAACCUUUGAGUACUGUACUUUUUUAUGGGAAAAUUUAGUGACUUGGAGAAGUAAGAAGCAAAGCAUGGUAGCUCAAAGUAGUGUUGAAGUCGAGUUUUGGGUAAUGACACAUGGAGUUUGUGAACUAUUGUGGUUAAAAAGAGUCUUGGAGGAGCUACAACAAGAAGCAAAACAUCCAAUAAAGUUAUGGUGUGAUAAUAUGACAACAAUUAGCAUUGCAUAUAACCCUAUCAAACAUGACCGCACCAAACAUGUGGAAUUGAUCGACACUUCAUAAAGGAGAAACUUGAAGAUGACAUCAUUUGCUUCCUAUUCGUUCCUUCAACUUAGCAAACUGCUGGCAUUUUGGCAAAGGUACUUCUUCGACCUAAUUUUGAGCAUUUAAUCAACAAGUUAGGUAUGAUAGAUAUCUAUGCUUCAACUUCAGGGGGAGUGUAAAAAAGAUAGGUUUUUUAGUUUAGAUUUUUUAAUAAUAUCAGAAUCUAUUGAUUAUGUUAGCCCAAGGGUUCUCCUAAUCAGGUUUUGAUGAUAACAAACCGUGGUUAAGUGACUAAUUGCUUUAAAUUGUUAAGAAUCUCAGGUAUAAUCUCAAGGACCAAACGAAUACGGGAUAAAGACCAUUUGGAAGACUUGUGAUCAUAGGAAAUGAAUGUAAGAUGAUAGCAUGAGUGCACUUAGGAUGUUCAUACAUUUUCAUGCAUCUUAGAAAACUCGGUUUAUUCUUUAAAACUUGAUUUUCUUUAAAACCCGAGUUUUAUCAAAUAUACCUUAGGCAAAUUGACUCAAAAUUGACAUAUUAACUCUCCUAAAGACCUUGCCUAAGUAUUGGAAAAGAAAGAAAUAAAAAAGGAUAGGUUUUCAGGGCCAAAAGGCUCAUCCGGUCGAGGCUAUGGCCAACCGGCUCAACCGGUUGGGGAACCGGUCGACCGGUUUCCCUUGUCCGGUCGAGGUCCGGUCGAGGGAGACACAAAAACUUUCUCUCUCUCCCAGUAGCUUCCUCUUCCCGGUCGAGCCUCACCCUUUGUCCGGUCGAGGUCUGGUCGAGGUCCGGUCGAAGUCCGGUCGAGGCAACGAUAACCUGCUAUGCAUUAAAUGCUCCAACGGCUAGUGAUCCGGUCGACCCUUUGCUCGUCCGGUCGAGGCUACUUUCUGCUGUUUUUGUCUCCCGAGCUUAGAAACCUAUAAAUUGAGAGCUCCUAUUCAUUUAUGACUAAGAGAACAAUUGCAUUCAAAGCCUACCUACCUGUUCUUGAUCAAAAAAGCUCUCAUCAUCUUUCUUAGUGCAUUAAACCAUCAAUUGCAUAUUCUUAGUGCACUCUUGCAAUUCAUCCUAGCUUUCUCUUGUACUUGAGCCUUCCUUAAGCUAGGUUGAGAGUUUCAUCCUUGUGUAAAUUGAGUGUGAAAGCCUUCAAGUGGUUCAAAUCUUGAAGAGAUUGUGUAAGAGCCCAUUGGAGCCGGAAUCCAAGUGUAAGACGAUUGAAAGCUUGAUUGUAGCUUCAAGCUAGUGUAACCCUCACUCGGUUAGGAGAUUGAGGAGAGUGGACGUAGGCAAGGGAGUGCCGAACCACUAUAAAUCUGAGUUUGAAUUCUCUACCUUUAUCUCUUUCCUUUAUUUAUUUUGUGCAUAUAUUGUUGUGUGGAAAAAGAUUUUGAAAAACCCAAUUCACCCCCCCUUUUGGGUAUUUUCCUUAAUUAUUCAUAGCCUUUGUUUUAUCAGAUUAGAUAUUUAGUAGGUUGUUAUCUUUGUUCUUAUUUUCAUGUUCCAGUUUUUUAGGGUGUUGAGAUUCUCUUAGAAGAAAUCUUUAUUUGUAAUUUGCAGCUUAUUCAAUAGGAUGGAUGAUCAUUUUUCCCCUAAAAUCUUCAUAGAGUGUGACAAGGACACUGCCCAUGUGAUUGGCCUUAACCUUGGCAACAACUAUCUCUAUGGUUCUAUCAACUCUAGUAGCACCUCUUCCACCUUGUGCAUCUUCAAGGGCUUGAUCUAUUUGAUAACGAUUUCAGUUCCUCUAAGAUCCCAUCUAGAAUUGUCCAGCUUUUGAGUUUAAGAAGUCUAAACUGCUCGUCUUCCAGAUUCUCCAGCCAAAUCCCAUUGGAGCUUUUAGUGCUGUCCAAACUGGUUGUCCUUGAUCUCUCACAAAAUCCAUUGAAGCACAACGCCAUUAACCUAACCUGGCUUUAGAUGCAGGGGUGAGAAACAUUUCAUUCUUUUAAUAUAAAAUGCUUUUGGGAAGUUGGUUGUAUCGUUCCUGGUGAAUGGUGAUUUCCCCUACCAAUUUGGUACACUUUCAGACUUGAUCUUAUGCAUAUCAUUGAAGAACCUUUUUUUUUUUCCUCAAUAUUUUGUUUUUAGAAAGAUUUUAACUAAAAAUAUUGUGCAAUUUCAUUUGAAAAAAUUUUCAAAUCCUCUUCUCUGUAAAACUAUGGAUCUUUAGUGUUCUGUAGACCCCUAAUAUUAGGAAUAUGGUGGUUUAUGUUUGAAUACACGUUUUUCUCUUUAAAUCCUUGAACCUAGUGUACCAAUAUUUCAAACAUUUUUUUUUGUUUACAGAUAUAUGCUAGAAAUAUGAUAGGGUGAUGAAAGCCAAGGAACCACUUUGGUGUUGAUUUGGAGAUCAAUCACUAAAAGGUUCAGAUGAUUUCUUUUUCUAGUUUUUUCUUAUUUAGGUAAGAUUAAGAGGUAUCCUUAUGGUGGCAAAUUCUUCUAACCUAAAGAUUAAGUGAUCAUUUGGUGAAACAAAACAUAAUUUAGAAACAUUCCCUCAUUCAGUCACUGUUGCUAGCUUUUAGGAAGCUGACAACAUUUACAGUAAUAAAUAAAUGGUACCCUGCUUUCCAUACUGAUCAUGUUACUCAGGGUAGGUUGCUUUUCUUGAACUUGAGCAUUUUUUUUUACUAAAAAUGAUGAAUUGAGACUAUAAUCUACUUCCAUUUUUAACAACUUGAGAAGGUAACAUUUUUCAAGCAAUGGCAUAAAAAAUCUGAAGAUGAUGAAUUGAGACUAGAAUUGCUCCUUGCUAAAGAAGAUGACAUUAAGAGACUCUUUCUUAGUAGAUGUAGGGGCUCCAUCCACUAAGUAAGCAUAGAUGUUCGGAAUGUAGAAACGCUCUUGAAACUCUCGUUUAAUAAGGAGUUUAAUAGGCUUUUCCGAAUGAGUACGGUCGGAACCUGCUCUUGUAUGGACAACUUUCUGGCCCUUACUAGCCAUUGGUAAAAGCCAUAUCCCCUCUUGAUGACAUGAUGAAGAAAUGGGUCGUGAGAAACCUACAUAGCACAACGACCGAUUGUCAUAAAAUAGUCGCCCAGUCCUUCUGACAACAGACAGUGCCUCAUAUGUACAAUAACUAGCUUACCCAAGCCUAAAAUCCACAUUUAGGAGAAGCACUUGGCCCAGCCUGUAGGGUAAACCCUAACCAAGAUCUCGCUCAACCAUACUCUCAUAGUGACCCCAAGCCAAAAGGCCAAUGUACACCCCUCAACGAACCAACAAAAAGAAAGCAAACCUUAACCCUACCAAACGCUACUUAUUCCCCAAAUGGUGAGUGUCUUCGCCAUAAAAACUUCAAAAGCCCUACAUUAUGGACCUCACAACGUCCAUUUCAUACCCAAAAAGCCCCAAAAUUGCAAAAAUAGUUCCAAGGCAGCAAACUAACCAACUCGAUAAACAAAAAAUUGAAACCAGAAGAAGGAAGAAGAAUGGGCUUACCAUAGUCUAAAAUGUGCGCGUAUAAGCAUAAAAUGACGCUCACCAAAAAUAAGAUAAGAAAUACAGUAAAGUCAUCGGAAAUGAUGAGCGACGAAGCGACGGAGUGCAGAACAAACGGUGGCAGCUGAAGUUGCAGCAAAGAAAAUACGGGAGAAGAAAGGAAGAAGAAGAGCUCCAAAGGCAGAAACAUCCAAAAAGGUACCCCAAGGGGUCUGGAGUCCCUUAUUUAUAGGGGACCAAAACCUUAGGGAUCCCAAAAAGCAGGUCGCCUGGGAACGCGCACCAAAGCGACAUGCCGCUUGACAGCGCCCUCGAUAAAAAACAACCCUCAUUUAAAUCCCUAAUUGACACAUGUCCCACACACAUUGGGGAAUUCCAGGGGGUAUUUUUAAACCCGUUCGUCUCUGUCGGACAAAGACACUCGUGUUAAAAAGGGGCAUUGUGGGGGCCUUCCCCACGUGCCAGUCCGUAUGAUGGUCCAUGUGGCACUCCUCUCAGUAUUGUACGGAUGGUCACCAUAGUAUCCGGAGCUUCCCAUCCGGGCCAUAUAGGCUGGUAGCUGAGCAACAUUAGACUUCCUAAGUUGACAACGUUUUCCGUAUAGCUUGCGACUCUCUCCUCUUGACAAAAGUAUGGAUGAUGGGACUUUUCCUGAUCUUCACAUCCGUGUCAGAAGAUUAUCACACAUUAGCAGGUUGAAGUGAUGAGCAAAUAUAUCAGGACACACCAUCUGAUGGCACCAACUAUCCACCUUAAAUUGCAAUGAUUACCCUACCAUCUACAAGAUAGCCAUUAUUGCAGUAAAAGUCAAAGCGCCAACACAACACUACAGUGGUUCCAUCCUAAGCACUAUAAAAGGCCCUCCCAAGCAAAACCCAUGUACGCAAGAAUAAAGGGCUAGCCCAUUCACUCUCCUCUUUAAAGGUUAAUCCUCAUCAUCACUCAGUCCAUUGUCACUAGGUAGAGGCUUUGAGUGGCACAACAAAAGGAAGAUCUAACUCUAGUUGACCCCAUAUCAACAUUUGGACUUCCAACAAGUUCAAAAAAAAAUUGACAGACACGUUAGUAGGAAAAACUCUUUUACUCAUUCUAGAUGACGUGUGGAACGAAAAUUAUUGUAAUUGGGAUCGUUUGCAGGCUCCUUUUAGUGUAGUGGCAAAAGGAAGCAAAGUCAUAGUUACAACACGUAAUAAAAAUGUUGCAUUGAUGAUGGGAGCUCUCUGGAAUGUUCAUGAACUAAACCCUUUAUCUGAAUAUAUGUGCUUGUUGGUCUAUGUUUGGGAAGCAUGCAUUUGAACAUAGAAAUAUCAAUGAUCAUCUGAACCUGGUGUCCAUUGGUAGGAAAAUUGUUGGCAAAUGUGGUGGAUUGCCGCUAGCUGCAAAAGGGUGUGGUGGUCUCUUACGCUCUAAGCAAAGCGAAGCCAAGUGUAAAAAAGUGUUGAAUAGCAAAAUGAGAGAUUUGUCAAGCACGGAAUGUGAGAUUCUUCCGAUUUUUUCAUCACUGGUCCUUAGCAUACACCAAUUCAAGUUGGUGGCACAAUGCUACUUUACUAAUAAAACAGUGGGUGGCAAAGGAACCAUCAGAGCCAUGGUUGGAUGGAGAGUACCAAGGAAAGGAAAAAAACAAAAAAAAAGUAAUAACUAGCCUUAUCAAUACAUCAAUUUACAAAUUUUUGAAGUACCUAAAAUAUUCUCAUUCUUUUCUUCCACAUUCAACUUUUAUUUUAUUUUCUUUUAUUUUUUUUCUCUUUUAAUCUUUUUCUUCUUAACAAAAUACCCUAAGAAAAAAAAUGUUUUUUAGGCUUAUCCUUUAUGUAAAUUUUGAUAAAAAAAAACUUAUAAAAAUAAUUAAAAAAUGAUUAGGAAGAAUUUAGAAAUAAUUUAAAAGUGAAAAGUUAUAAAAAGAAAAUGUAAGAAAAAUGAAAAAAAAAAAACCCUCAUUUCGUUGUGUUUGAAGCUGGAAAAGCCAUUCCCAUAUCACAUAAAUACUUCAACUUAAUGUGCCAAGGAGUGAUCUAGACUAGGAAGGUUGGACUAUAUUUUGAUGGUUGGACAAUAAAUAUUAAAUCUUGUUAAAUCUUGAAGUGCAUUUGAGAGUGUUUUUAAAAAACAUUAUUUCAAAAUUAUUUUUAAUAAAAAUUAAGUAUUUGAUAAAAUUUAUAAAAUAUUUUUAAAAUUAUUUAUAAUAUCAAAAAUCAUUUAUAAUGUUUUUCAAAGAAACAUUUUAUUAAAAAUAUUUUAAGUAAAAACUAUGUUUGAUAUUAAUUUUAAAAAAUAUUUAUAAUAUUUUUAACAUGAAAGGUAAAAGCUUUUGUAAUAAUUGAAAAUUUUUAAUAAAAAUAUUUCCUAAAAAGAUUGCAAGAGUAAAAAUAUUCGACUUUUAAGGGGGUGGGGAAUGAAUGUGUGCACAUCUCCGUAGUUUGGUUAUUUCGAUAAGGAUAUUUUUGUCCCAAAAGAAAUUAUUAUUAUUAAGAUAGAUGAAGAAAAAUUGAACGGAUGUAAACAUAAAUUCCCUAAAAAGAAUAUUAGAAUUAAUACCAUAAAAAGGUAAAAACAAGCCAAACGAGACCUUAGCGUAGAGUUCAAGGCUUGCCUUGAAUGAUGCCUUUACUGGAUCCCAACGGGUUUCGAUGCCUUUACCCUCUGCUGAAGCCUUCCCCACCGCAGAACCACUUUCACUUGGUUCCAUCUUCCCUUCUUACCUUUUGCUCUUUGUUUUCCUUUGCAGAACACCAUGGACAUUAUUGGAGACGCUCUUCUUUCCACUGUCAUUGAAUUCCUGUUUGACAAGUUGGCUUCCUCUGAUCUGAUGAAGUUCGCACGGCAUGAGGAUGUCCACACCGAGCUCAAGAAAUGGGAGAAGGAGUUGCAGAGCAUCCGGGAAGAGCUCAACGACGCGGAGGAAAAGCAGAUCACACAGGAGGCUGUCAAAUCAUGGCUGUUCGAUCUGAGGGAUUUGGCGUAUGACAUGGAGGACAUCUUGGACGAGUUUGCUUACGAAGUGAUGAGAAGAAAGCUGAUGGGGGCGGAAGCUGACGAAGCCAGCACAAGCAAAAUACGCAGGUUCGUUUCUAGUUGCUGUACUAGUUUCAAUCCAACUCAUGUGGUGCGUAAUGUCAAGACGGGGUCCAAGAUUAGACAGAUCACCAGCAGGUUACAAGAUAUUUCAGCUAGAAAAGCUAGAUUUGGCCUGGAAAAAUUGAGAGGAGCAGCAGCUACUUCCGCUUGGCAAAGGCCACCACCCACUACACCUAUGGCAUACGAACCUGACGUUUAUGGCAGGGAUGAAGAUAAAACACUGGUUCUUGAUAUGCUGCGCAAGGUUGAGCCCAAUGAAAACAAUGUUGGCCUCAUUUCCAUUGUUGGCAUGGGCGGGCUGGGCAAGACAACGCUCGCACGGCUUGUUUACAAUGAUGAUUUGGCCAAAAAUUUUGAACUAAGAGCAUGGGUUUGUGUGACUGAGGAUUUUGAUGUGGAGAAAAUAACAAAAGCAAUUCUCAAUUCGGUGUUAAAUUCUGAUGCAAGUGGGUCUUUGGACUUCCAACAAGUUCAAAGGAAAUUGACAGACACGUUAGCAGGGAAAACUCUUUUUCUCAUUCUAGACGACGUGUGGAACGAAAAUUAUUGUAAUUGGGAUCGUUUGCGGGCUCCUUUUAGUGUAGUGGCAAAAGGAAGCAAAGUCAUAGUUACAACACGCAAUAAAAAUGUUGCAUUGAUGAUGGGAGCUGCCGAGAAUCUUCAUGAACUAAACCCCUUGUCAGAAGACGCUUGUUGGUCUGUGUUUGAGAAGCAUGCAUGUGAACAUAGAAAUAUGGAAGAUCAUCCAAACUUGGUGUCCAUUGGGAGGAAAAUUGUUGGCAAGUGUGGGGGAUUGCCCCUAGCAGCAAAAGCCCUUGGUGGUCUCUUACGCUCUAAACAUAGGGAAGAAGAAUGGGAAAGAGUAUUGAAUAGCAAAAUUUGGGAUUUUUCAAGCGCGGAAUGUGAGAUUCUUCCUGCGUUGCGGUUGAGCUAUCACUAUCUCCCUUCAUAUUUGAAGGGGUGUUUUGCAUACUGUGCAAUCUUCCCCAAGGACUAUGAGUACGACUCAAAAACUUUGGUCCUCCUGUGGAUGGCUGAAGGUUUAAUUCAGCAACCAAACGCUGACAGCCAGACAAUGGAAGAUCUAGGAGACAACUAUUUUUGUGAAUUAUUGUCAAGGUCAUUUUUUCAAUCAUCAGGUAAUGAUGAAUCCCGUUUUGUGAUGCAUGAUCUUAUCUGUGAUCUCGCUCGAGUUGCUUCUGGUGAAAUAAGCUUUUGUUUGGAAGAUAACUUGGAAAGUAAUCAUCGAUCCACAAUUUCUAAAGAGACUCGUCAUUCAUCAUUCAUUCGUGGAAAAUUCGACGUGUUCAAGAAAUUUGAAGCCUUUCAAGAGUUUGAACAUUUACGAACAUUUGUGGCUUUACCAAUUCAUGGUACGUUUACAAAAUCUUUUGUAACUAGUUUGGUGUGUGAUCGUUUGGUGCCAAAAUUUCGACAGUUAAGAGUCCUCUCUUUGAGUGAAUAUAUGAUAUUUGAGCUACCAGAUUCUAUUGGUGGAUUAAAACAUCUGCGUUAUUUGAAUUUGUCUUUCACCCAAAUCAAAUUAUUGCCAGAUUCA